rnacentral:rRNA from 1 species
GAUGAACGCUAGCUACAGGCUUAACACAUGCAAGUCGCGGGGCAGCAUGGGGGUUGCUUGCAACCCCUGAUGGCGACCGGCGCACGGGUGAGUAACGCGUAUCCAACCUGCCCUUCACCACGGGAUAACCCGGCGAAAGUCGGACUAAUACCGUAUGUUGUCCAUUGACGGCAUCCGAUUUGGACGAAAGGCUUGGCGGUGAGAGGAUGGGGAUGCGUCCGAUUAGCUUGACGGCGGGGUAACGGCCCACCGUGGCUACGAUCGGUAGGGGUUCUGAGAGGAAGGUCCCCCACACUGGAACUGAGACACGGUCCAGACUCCUACGGGAGGCAGCAGUGAGGAAUAUUGGUCAAUGGGCGUAAGCCUGAACCAGCCAAGUAGCGUGCAGGAUGACGGCCCUAUGGGUUGUAAACUGCUUUUAUGCGGGGAUAAAGUGGCCCACGUGUGGGCUUUUGCAGGUACCGCAUGAAUAAGGACCGGCUAAUUCCGUG